CUGAUACGAAGAUAUUCUGAGAAAACUUCGCGAUGAAGAAACGUCAAUCUUCAAAAACGUCGAGCUUCUAAACCGUCGUGCUUCAAAAAUGUGAUUCUUCCAAAACUGCCGUCUGAUCAAUCUAACACUUUUCUAACCAUGGUCCAGCAGCUUAUGGUUCACCCAUGAUCAAUUCUUCGACCAUCCAUUGCCCGCGGUACAACCACUAAAUAAUAA
rnacentral:lncRNA from 1 species